rnacentral:rRNA from 1 species
AGAGUUUGAUCCUGGCUCAGGAUGAACGCUAGCGACAGGCUUAACACAUGCAAGUCGAGGGGCAGCGGGGAGCGAAGCUUGCUUUGCUUCGCCGGCGACCGGCGCACGGGUGAGUAACACGUAUGCGACCUGCCCUUUACAGAGGGAUAAUCGGGAGAAAUUCCGUCUAAUACCUCAUAACACAUACCGACCGCAUGAUCGGUAUGUCAAAGGAGCGAUCCGGUAAAGGAUGGGCAUGCGGCGCAUUAGGUAGUUGGUGGUGUAACGGACCACCAAGCCGACGAUGCGUAGGGGUUCUGAGAGGAAGGUCCCCCACACUGGUACUGAGACACGGACCAGACUCCUACGGGAGGCAGCAGUGAGGAAUAUUGGUCAAUGGGCGAGAGCCUGAACCAGCCAAGUCGCGUGAGGGAAGACGGUCCUACGGAUUGUAAACCUCUUUUGUCGGGGAGCAAUAAGGCGUACGUGUACGCAGAUGCGAGUACCCGAAGAAAAAGCAUCGGCUAACUCCGUGCCAGCAGCCGCGGUAAUACGGAGGAUGCGAGCGUUAUCCGGAUUUAUUGGGUUUAAAGGGUGCGCAGGCGGAAAGUGCAAGUCAGCGGUCAAACGACGGGGCUCAACCCCGUCUCGCCGUUGAAACUGUCUUUCUAGAGUGAGCGAGAAGUAUGCGGAAUGCGUGGUGUAGCGGUGAAAUGCAUAGAUAUCACGCAGAACUCCGAUUGCGAAGGCAGCAUACCGGCGCCCGACUGACGCUCAUGCACGAAAGCGUGGGUAUCGAACAGGAUUAGAUACCCUGGUAGUCCACGCAGUAAACGAUGAAUACUAAUUGUCCGGGCAGAAUGAUGCCUGGGUGAUACAGCGAAAGCGUUAAGUAUUCCACCUGGGGAGUACGCCGGCAACGGUGAAAC